AUUGAACGCUGGCGGCAGGCCUAACACAUGCAAGUCGAACGAGUGGCGGACGGGUGAGUAAUGUCUGGGAAACUGCCUGAUGGAGGGGGAUAACUACUGGAAACGGUCGCUAAUACCGCAUACCAUCGGAUGUGCCCAGCUGGGGUUGGCUAGUAGGUGGGGUAAAGGCUCACCUAGGCGACGAUCCCUAGCUGGUCUGAGAGGAUGACCAGCCCCACUGGAACUGAGACACGGUCCAGACUCCUACGGGAGGCAGCAGUGGGGAAUAUUGCACAAUGGGCGCAAGCCUGAGGCAGCCAGGCCGCGUGUAUGAAGAAGGCCGUCGGGUUGUAAAGUACUGUCAGUGGGGAGGCGUUACCCGAAGAAGAAGCACCGGCUAACUCCGUGCCAGCAGCCGCGGUAAUAC
rnacentral:rRNA from 1 species